GGGGAAAAGUAGCUUGCUACUGGACCUAGCGGCGGACGGGUGAGUAAUGCUUAGGAAUCUGCCUAUUAGUGGGGGACAACAUCUCGAAAGGGAUGCUAAUACCGCAUACGUCCUACGGGAGAAAGCAGGGGACCUUCGGGCCUUGCGCUAAUAGAUGAGCCUAAGUCGGAUUAGCUAGUUGGUGGGGUAAAGGCCUACCAAGGCGACGAUCUGUAGCGGGUCUGAGAGGAUGAUCCGCCACACUGGGACUGAGACACGGCCCAGACUCCUACGGGAGGCAGCAGUGGGGAAUAUUGGACAAUGGGGGGAACCCUGAUCCAGCCAUGCCGCGUGUGUGAAGAAGGCCUUUUGGUUGUAAAGCACUUUAAGCGAGGAGGAGGCUACCGAGAUUAAUACUCUUGGAUAGUGGACGUUACUCGCAGAAUAAGCACCGGCUAACUCUGUGCCAGCAGCCGCGGUAAUACAGAGGGUGCAAGCGUUAAUCGGAUUUACUGGGCGUAAAGCGCGCGUAGGUGGCCAAUUAAGUCAAACGUGAAAUCCCCGAGCUUAACUUGGGAAUUGCAUUCGAUACUGGUUGGCUAGAGUAUGGGAGAGGAUGGUAGAAUUCCAGGUGUAGCGGUGAAAUGCGUAGAGAUCUGGAGGAAUACCGGUGGC
rnacentral:rRNA from 1 species